rnacentral:rRNA from 1 species
GCUUGUCUCAAAGAUUAAGCCAUGCAUGUCUAAGUACAAGCCGCUAGUCGGCGAAACCGCGAAUGGCUCAAUAAAUCAGUUAUGGUUCCUUAGAUCUUUCCAUCCUACUUGGAUAACUGUGGUAAUUCUAGAGCUAAUACAUGCACUACAAGCCCCGACUCGCCGGCGUCAAAACCGGCCGUAGAAGGGGUGCUUUUAUUAGAUCAAAACCAAUCGGGCCCUUCGCGGGGCCCGUUCCAUUUGGUGACUCUGAAUAACUUUCGCUGAUCGCACGGCCUUCGCGCCGGCGACGCAUCUUUCAAAUGUCUGCCUUAUCAACUUUCGAUGGUAGGUUAUGCGCCUACCAUGGUUGCAACGGGUAACGGGGAAUCGGGGUUCGAUUCCGGAGAGGGAGCCUGAGAAACGGCUACCACAUCCAAGGAAGGCAGCAGG